rnacentral:lncRNA from 1 species
AAAUCUUAAAAAAAAUAUUACAAUGGUCACAAAUAUAUCUCAUAUAAAUUUCAAUCUAAUCUUAAUUUAAUCCUAGUUAAAGUCCUAUUGAACUCCAUUCAAACUUUAGGCCAAAAAUUAAUUAAAUUUUAAAUCCUAAACAAACCCUAAUUAAAUUCUAAUAAAAUCUUAAAUCUUAAAUUAAAUCCUAAUUAAAUCUUAAAUCCUAAAUCAACUUUUAACCAAAUCCUAAUCCUAUAUCAAAUCUUAAUUAAAUCCUAAAUUCUAAAUUAAAUCCUAAUCAAAUUCUAAAUCCUAAACUAAAUCUUAACCAAAUCCUAAAUCCUAAAUUAAACCCUAACCAAAUCUUAAAUCCUAAAUCAAAUCCUAAGUAAAUCCUAUUCCUAAUUGAAUCCUAACCAAAUUCUAAAUCUUAAACCAAAUUCUAACUAAAUCCUAAAUCCUAAAC